CUUGAGACAUUUUUUUAUGCCAAGACGUCUCAAGAACGUCUUAAGACGUAUGAGUGAAGACACUGUCUUUGUCUUGAGACAUGAAAGUUAACGUCUUAAGACAAAGAAGUAAUUAUUUUGUGUGUCUUGAAGACGAGGCAUGACUUAAGACAUCACUUUGUCUUAAGACAUAGAGAUGUUGUGUCUUAAGACAGUUCAGUUGAGACCAAAGAGUGGUCCAUUACAAAAGGUCCUGUGGUAUGAGUGUGGUAUUCCUGUGAUACUGCCAAACUGAAAAUUACUACUGAGGAUUACCACAGCACUGCCCAAUGUACUUUAUAAUGAGAAUAUAACUAUAUAAGAGAGAAUUUAAGUAUGUCCUCAAGAAACAGCCUGCUGUAAUCUUAUGGUUUUUGUGUGAUAUUACUAAAAGAACAUUCACUAAGGUUUUUCUUGCUGUACUUUUGUGAUUCUUUUUUUUUGUAUGUUUUGUUUUUUGAUUAUUGCAGAAAUGUGUUUACAGUGGCAAAAUAGCAAAAGAAAAAAUCAGUUCUUAAACCAUUUACCUUACCUUAAAAUGUUUAAACUCAUUUCCUUAUAUCAUUGAAGUUCAUGGUAGAAUAACUUUUAAUUUGUAACAUUUACCAAAGGAGAUAAUCACAGUCAGUCACAGCCUUUUGCUCAUUUGCAGAAAACAUGCUAUGAUUAAAACAACAUUGAUCUAUUUUCAAAUGUACAACUGUAACCAGAGACAACAAGCUAGGAACCAAGAUAAAACAACUUUGAGCUAAUAGGAAGUAAAUGUACUUAACAGCUAACCUGAGUACUUUAGAGAUCUCAUACCACCAAAACUUAAUGCAGAAAAAGCCCUUGGUUCACUCUCUUCAACAUCUACACUUCUGUUUAUUUUCUUAAGCAGAUCAGGGCUGCCCAAAGUUAGACUUUUAAUUUGUAUAACUUUCCAAAUUAUUAUCUCCAGUAUUUGGAAAACACGAACAAUAAUAAACAAAUGUAUUUGAGUAGUAAUAUAUAAAGACCUGUAUUGUUUCACCACGUAAAAUUACAUAAUAAACAGAUUUUUGUUUAAAUGUCCAACUUCAUACUUUGACUUUAAUAUAUUAAGACAUGGCCUCCAGUGAUGCUGUAUGAUAAUGCUGUACAGCUGUCUUAUGUAUUUCAAGGGUUUACAGUUUUCUAUUCUGUGUCUAGAUUAAAAAAACAAACAAACAAAAACAAAGCAGCACAGUUCAUUCAGCACAGCAGAGCCGUGCGAACCAGAAAAAAAAGGAUCUAUGGGAGGACAAACAAAAGACUGGCGGGAGUUUAGACCAAUCAGAGCGCGGGACUCCGCCGCUUGGACGUUCGGUUUUGAAGCGCGAGCGCUCUCCGCCGUUCCUCCGUUUAAAGCCAAACGCGGCCGUUACAGCCGUUACAGUGAGCGGGUCUCUCAGGUCGCUACCGCGGGCAGUUUAUCGAGUUUGUUUAGCGAGUGUUAAACCUGAUAAGACUCUCUUACACUCCUUACUAAGACAGCGCCGCCUGCCGGGUGACGCUUUCAGCUCCCAGAAACGAGGAUUUUCAGCUGCGUAGCUGACUAACGAUAACUACUGACUGGACCGAGUGGAGUGGAGACUGGUUUUACGACUGGAGUCCCGACUGCAGCGGUCAGAGUCUGCUUUUAAAAGAUGUUUCUCAUCAGAAAUCAUCUGAAGCUGAGCAACUGGAACAUUCUCUCUUUGGGCCUCAUCCAGUAUGGUGGCAGUCCAUAUCAUUUUCAACACUUAACUGUGCUCUUACGCAAGUGGCCUCAUCCUGAUGCUUCUUUCAUUACACUGAACAUCAUUGUCUGAACAUCAGCUAUGCGUGUGAGCUGGGUGCCACACUGGAGUUCAUGCAUAGCGAGCUUGGCACACCCUCACACAACGCAACGCAUCUACCGGAGCCCGUGUAUUGGCGGAACCGCUCUGGUGCUUGAUCAGUCAGAGCCAAGUGAGCGAGCUAACUAAUCUGAGCAUACUGGGCUCAUCAGGAAGGAGGGGCUUAAAGACACUGGAUCUCUAACAGAGCGUUUCAGACAGAGGAUGCAUUUUCCUCAUAUCUCUGACAAAGAAGACCAACACUGAGAAAAAACAGAGGAAGAAGCGAUGGGCUGUGAAUCUGACAGUUCUCUCACUCAUCACGGAUUUAACUCUGAAAGGAGAGAUCGGUAACAUUAGCAGUGCAAUAUCAGUAAUGUUAGUGUUCAGGCAUUACGGCAUGGACAUAUGCACACUGAGUUAUCUGUGUCCUGUUUCCUGUGUCCACAUAUGUCCACAGCUUGACUCUAUUCCAGCUACCAGCACAUCUGAGUCUGGUAUUAAUUGUUUGACAGUUGAUCAUUAUCUGGCUCAGGUAUGUUAUGAGUACUGCUGGGGUUCAGACCUCUGUAUUACUCUGUUGGUCAGUUUUUCUUUUUAGUCCAUAUUAAUUUGUCUUAAAAUUGUUUCCUAUCAUUUAUAAUUGUUCAUAGUACUAUGUUGUUAAUAACCUCAGCAUAACUUAUAUACGGAAUAACAGCAGACCUUAAAAUCAGAUUCAUUGGUUUGUGGAACUGUGUAUUUAUUGCAGUAUAUUUCAGAUUUCUACACAAAGUCAGUUAACAUGUUUUUCUCUUUCUGUAGAACAUAUCAAGUGUGAUGACGCUAUUGUACUGUGCAUAUACACAGUUGUAAAAACAAUAAACAAUAACUGUAAUUAUA